GAUGGUGAAAGUUGACAUCAUACGGGAUCUCUCAUCCAAUCCCACAUAAACGGAACGGUUGGUCUCAAACUGGUAACACCUUUUCUCAUUUAUUUAUUCAUUUAGUUAUUCGUUUGUUUGUUUAUAUGUUAUCUUUCUUUGAAACGGAGUCUCACUGUGUCGCCCUGCCUGGCUUUGAACUCAGAGAUUCGCCUGCCUCUGUGACCCUAAAUGCUGGGAUUAAAAGCCUGCACCACCACAUACAUCCCUGGGAUUUUAGUAAAUAAAAAUUCAAAUGACUAUUGCAUUGAAGUGGGACAAAAUGAUUCAAAUGUUGGACGGAAAUGUCAAAGACAAUUCUAAAACAGAGUAGCAAGAAGGAACCAGCUUUGCCCACCAAUCAAACCAAGCAGGAUAAUUUGAAGUAUGUUUUAAAGUUACAUUUAUAUGGAUUUUUUUGGAGAGGACCCACGCGCCUGCAACGGUGCAUGUGUGGAAAUCAGAGGACAAUUUGGGGAGUCAGUUCUCUCUUGCUGUGUAAAAGAUCUAAUGUAAGCCAUCAGACUUGGCAGUGCCUUUACCUCACAAGCCUCAAAUCAUAAUUAAAAGGUGAAGUAUUAUUGAACUAUAACACAAUAGUCUGUGGUAAACAAUUUUAAAGAUUUAAUUUUAAUUAUGUUGUAUGUGUAUAUGUCCAAAUGUUGCUUCAGGUGCCCUCAGAGACUAGAAGAGGCCACCUUAGAGCUGGAGUUUAUAAGCAGCUGAAGUGAAUGCUGGGAGCAACUCCAGUCGUUUGGAAGAGAUGUAGUCUUUCCAAGCCCUUGGCAUGAAAUAAUUUUAAUAUAUGAUGUAGGGGCUAUCAUAGUUUGGCUG
rnacentral:lncRNA from 1 species